AAGUCGUAACAAGGUUUCCGUGGGUGAACCUGCUGUGUUUAUCAGUGGCCCACUAGAGCACGAUGAAGGUUCACGGGGGGGUUUAACGUUUGGAUACGUGUUAAUGAUCCUUCCGCAGCAAUUCCUGGUAAAUCAUUGUCUGAACAAGCCUUUGAGUCAGGAACCUCUGUGCAGUGCGAGCUACACCCACUAUAGAAGCGCUAGUUCCAUCGGCAUUGUUUCCCCAAGCAGCCAGUGCGUGAAAGUGGCAACUGACUGUGCAAGGAUAACGCUUAACGAUUUUGCAGCCGCAACACGCGGGCAGAGCUUUGCCAAAGGGUCCCCAUGCCCCUUCCUUCUGCCGAUUUCACAUACAAAGCUCCAUUUUCAAUUAUGGAUGGGGUAAAACCGAACAACUGUUAACAAUGGAUAUCUUGGUUCUC
rnacentral:misc_RNA from 1 species